rnacentral:rRNA from 1 species
UACGUAGGGUGCGAGCGUUAAUCGGAAUUACUGGGCGUAAAGCGUGCGCAGGCGGUGAUGUAAGACAGGUGUGAAAUCCCCGGGCUUAACCUGGGAACUGCAUUUGUGACUGCAUCGCUGGAGUGCGGCAGAGGGGGAUGGAAUUCCGCGUGUAGCAGUGAAAUGCGUAGAUAUGCGGAGGAACACCGAUGGCGAAGGCAGCCCCCUGGGUCAAGAUUGACGCUCAUGCACGAAAGCGUGGGGAGCAAACAGG